UACGUAGGUGGCAAGCGUUGUCCGGAUUUACUGGGCGUAAAGGAUGCGUAGGCGGACAUUUUAAGUCAGAUGUGAAAUACCCGAGCUUAACUUGGGUGCUGCAUUUGAAACUGGGUGUCUAGAGUGCAGGAGAGGUAAGUGGAAUUCCUAGUGUAGCGGUGAAUGCGUAGAGAUUAGGAAGAACACCAGUGGCGAAGGCGACUUACUGGACUGUAACUGACGCUGAGGCACGAAAGCGUGGGGGAGCAAACAGG
rnacentral:rRNA from 1 species